rnacentral:rRNA from 1 species
GAUGAACGCUGGCGGCGUGCUUAACACAUGCAAGUCGAACGAUGAAGCCCAGCUUGCUGGGUGGAUUAGUGGCGAACGGGUAAGUAACACGUGAGUAACCUGCCCUUGACUCUGGGAUAAGCCUGGGACACUGGGUCUAAUACUGGAUAUGACUUCUCAUCGCAUGGUGGGGGGUGGAAAGAUUUAUUGGUCUUGGAUGGACUCGCGGCCUAUCAGCUUGUUGGUGAGGUAAUGGCUCACCAAGGCGACGACGAGUAGCCGGCCUGAGAGGGUGACCGGCCACACUGGGACUGAGACACGGCCCAGACUCCUACGGGAGGCAGCAGUGGGGAAUAGUGCACAAUGGGCGCAAGCCUGAUGCAGCGACGCCGCGUGAGGGAUGACGGCCUUCGUGUUGUAGACCUCUUUCAGUAGGGAAGAAGCGGGAGUGACGGUACCUGCAGAAGAAGCGCCGGCUAACUACGUG